GCUCCAAUGGGUCAGUGGUAGACCGGUCUCGUAAUUUCAGAAAAUCGGCUUCAAACAUUUUCGAGGCAGAUGUGGGUUCGACUCCCGCUUGGAGCC